CUGGCGUGCUGCGUUAGAAUUUUUUUUUUUUCUUCCUUUUGUUUUUCAGAGGUGUUUGACUCGAGAUAGGUUAAGAUAAUGAGUUGUACUUUAGUAUAUCAUCUUGAAUCGAAGGAGAAUGAUGAAGUCAAAUCCAUAGAAGAACGGAAAAGGAUGAGACAUUUUUCGAAAAAUAUAUUCAAACAAGCUUAUUUUCAGGGACAAUUUAAC
rnacentral:lncRNA from 1 species